rnacentral:lncRNA from 1 species
CGACUUAUUUGUUCCAUGCGACGGAAGACGUUGGAUCUGCAUCAAUUCCGUGUGGAUACGCGUAGAGGCUGGACACAUGCGCGGCUAAUUGGAAUCUCAGUUUCAACCGUACAGUAGAUCAAGGGACCUUAAUUGGUCCGAGGUAAUGUAGCCUGAUAAUUGGUCCGAGGUGAUGUAGCCUGAACUUCAAAUCUGUUUAGGUUAGAUUAUUAUUUUACACUGUAACAUGAGAAUGAUCCGCCAGCACUGGAUUGAUUUGUUUUUGAUUUGGUUCAUAUGUGAUAUGGAUUUUUGUUUUGGAAAAUUUUCUAAAGGUACGAUAUUUUUUCCGCUGUGAUUUGUAUUUUAUUUUUGUGCCGGAUAAAUU